GAUUGAACGCUGGCGGUAUGCUUAACACAUGCAAGUCGAACGGAAACGAUACUAGCUUGCUAGUAGGCGUCGAGUGGCGGACGGGUGAGUAACGCGUAGGAAUCUGCCUGAUAGUGGGGGAUAGCCCGAAGAAAUUCGGAUUAAUACCGCAUAAUCUAUUCGUAGUAAAGUGGGGGACUUUCGAGCCUCACGCUAUCAGAUGAGCCUGCGUAAGAUUAGCUUGUUGGUAGGGUAAAAGCCUACCAAGGCGACGAUCUUUAGCUGGUCUGAGAGGAUGAUCAGCCACAUCGGGACUGAGACACGGCCCGAACUCCUACGGGAGGCAGCAGUGGGGAAUAUUGGACAAUGGGGGCAACCCUGAUCCAGCAAUACCGCGUGUGUGAAGAAGGCCUGAGGGUUGUAAAGCACUUUCAAUUGUGAAGAAAAGUUAGCGGUUAAUAACCGUUAGCCUUGACGUUAACUUUAGAAGAAGCACCGGCUAACUCCGUGCCAGCAGCCGCGGUAAUACGGAGGGUGCAAGCGUUAAUCGGAAUUACUGGGCGUAAAGCGUGCGUAGGCGGUUUAUUAAGUCAGAUGUGAAAGCCCCGGGCUUAACCUGGGAACUGCAUUUGAAACUGGUCAACUAGAGUAUGGUAGAGGAAAGUGGAAUUUCUGGUGUAGCGGUGAAAUGCGUAGAUAUCAGAAGGAACAUCAAUGGCGAAGGCAGCUUUCUGGACCAAUACUGACGCUGAGGUACGAAAGCGUGGGUAGCAAACAGGAUUAGAUACCCUGGUAGUCCACGCCGUAAACGAUGAUAACUAGCCGUUGGGGGGAUUUACCCUUUAGUGGCGAAGCUAACGCGUUAAGUUAUCCGCCUGGGGAGUACGGCCGCAAGGUUAAAACUCAAAGGAAUUGACGGGGACCCGCACAAGCGGUGGAGCAUGUGGUUUAAUUCGAUGCAACGCGAAGAACCUUACCUGGUCUUGACAUCCUGCGAACUUUCUAGAAAUAGAUUGGUGCCUUCGGGAACGCAGUGACAGGUGCUGCAUGGCUGUCGUCAGCUCGUGUCGUGAGAUGUUGGGUUAAGUCCCGUAACGAGCGCAACCCCUAUCCUUAUUUGCCAGCACAUCAUGGUGGGAACUAUAAGGAGACUGCCGGUGAUAAACCGGAGGAAGGCGGGGACGACGUCAAGUCAUCAUGGCCCUUACGACCAGGGCUACACACGUGCUACAAUGGGAAGGACAAAGAGCCGCGAAGCCGCGAGGUGUAGCUAAUCUCAUAAACCUUUUCGUAGUCCGGAUUGGAGUCUGCAACUCGACUCCAUGAAGUCGGAAUCGCUAGUAAUCGUAGAUCAGAAUGCUACGGUGAAUACGUUCCCGGGUCUUGUACACACCGCC
rnacentral:rRNA from 1 species